rnacentral:rRNA from 1 species
UACGGGGGGGGGCAAGCGUUGUUCGGAAUUACUGGGCGUAAAGGGCUCGUAGGCGGCCAACUAAGUCAGACGUGAAAUCCCUCGGCUUAACCGGGGAACUGCAUCUGAUACUGGAUGGCUUGAGUUCGGGAGAGGGAUGCGGAAUUCCAGGUGUAGCGGUGAAAUGCGUAGAUAUCAGGAGGAACACCGGUGGCGAAGGCGGGUCUCUGGGCAGUAACUGACGCUGAGGAGCGAAAGCGUGGGGAGCGAACAGG